GCCCGCGUGGCGGAAUUUGGUAGACGCAACGGACUUAAAAUCCGUUUCCCGAAAGGGAGUCCCGGUUCGAGUCCGGGCGCGGGCACCA
rnacentral:tRNA from 1 species